rnacentral:lncRNA from 1 species
UCUAGCCAAGGAACCCAGGUUUCAUAAAAGGACAGUACACAUAAAGCGUUGCUUCAAUUCCAUCCGUGAUUAUAUCAAGGAGGAGGACAUAAACAUUUGCAAAGUAUACACGUAUCUGAAUGUUGCAGACCCAUUGAGUAAACCUCUUCCACGAGCAAAACAUGAUCAACACGAGAACUCUAUGGGUGUUAGAUUUAUUACCAUGUAAUACUAGAUUAUUUACUAGUGCAAGUGGGAGACUGUUGGAAAUAUGCCCUAGAGGCAAUAAUAAAUUG